rnacentral:miRNA from 10 species
UGAGGCAGGAGAAUUGCUUGAACCCAGGAGGUGGAGGUUGCAGUGAGCCGAGAUCGUGCCACUGCAAUCCAGCCUGGGUGACACAGCAAGACUC